rnacentral:rRNA from 1 species
GACAGAGGGGGCAAGCGUUGCUCGGAAUCACUGGGCGUAAAGGGCGCGUAGGCGGGAAGCCAGGUCGGUCGUGAAAUCUCCGGGCUCAACCCGGAGGAGUCGGCCGAAACUGGUUUUCUUGAGGGGGGCGGAGGAGUCUGGAAUUCCCGGUGUAGCGGUGAAAUGUGUAGAGAUCGGGAGGAACACCGGUGGCGAAGGCGGGACUCUGGGCCUACCCUGACGCUGAGGCGCGAAGGCGUGGGGAGCAAACGGG